rnacentral:rRNA from 1 species
UACAGAGGUCUCAAGCGUUGUUCGGAUUCAUUGGGCGUAAAGGGUGCGUAGGCGGCGCGGUAAGUCGGGUGUGAAAUCCUGAGGCUUAACUUCGGAACUGCAUUCGAUACUGCCGUGCUUGAGGACUGGAGAGGAGACUGGAAUUUACGGUGUAGCGGUGAAAUGCGUAGAUAUCAGGAGGAACACCGAUGGCGAAGGCAGGUCUCUGGGCCACUACUGACGCUGAGAAGCGAAAGCAUGGGGGAGCGAACAGG